rnacentral:tRNA from 1 species
GCAGAUAUAGUUUAAGUAAAAUGCUGGAGUGUGGAUCCACAGACAGAGGUUAGAUCCCUCUUAUCAGCC